UACGGAGGGUGCGAGCGUUAAUCGGAAUUACUGGGCGUAAAGCGUGCGCAGGCGGUUUGCUAAGUCAGAUGUGAAAGCCCCGGGCUCAACCUGGGAAUCGCAUUUGAAACUGGCAAACUAGAGUCUUGUAGAGGGGGGUAGAAUUUCAGGUGUAGCGGUGAAAUGCGUAGAGAUCUGAAGGAAUACCGGUGGCGAAGGCGGCCCCCUGGACAAAGACUGACGCUCAGGCACGAAAGCGUGGGGAGCAAACAGG
rnacentral:rRNA from 1 species